GAAAGCCGGAUUAAUACCGCAUACGAUCUAAGGAUGAAAGCGGGGGAUCUUCGGACCUCGCGCUAUAGGGUUGGCCGAUGGCUGAUUAGCUAGUUGGUGGGGUAAAGGCCUACCAAGGCGACGAUCAGUAGCUGGUCUGAGAGGACGACCAGCCACACUGGGACUGAGACACGGCCCAGACUCCUACGGGAGGCAGCAGUGGGGAAUUUUGGACAAUGGGCGAAAGCCUGAUCCAGCAAUGCCGCGUGUGUGAAGAAGGCCUUCGGGUUGUAAAGCACUUUUGUCCGGAAAGAAAUCAUCCUGGCUAAUAUCCGGGGUGGAUGACGGUACCGGAAGAAUAAGCACCGGCUAACUACGUGCCAGCAGCCGCGGUAAUACGUAGGGUGCGAGCGUUAAUCGGAAUUACUGGGCGUAAAGCGUGCGCAGGCGGUUUGUUAAGACAGAUGUGAAAUCCCCGGGCUUAACCUGGGAACUGCAUUUGUGACUGGCAAGCUAGAGUAUGGCAGAGGGGGGUAGAAUUCCACGUGUAGCAGUGAAAUGCGUAGAGAUGUGGAGGAAUACCGAUGGCGAAGGCAGCCCCCUGGGCCAAUACUGACGCUCA
rnacentral:rRNA from 1 species